AACGCAAAUUGCACUCUCCGGUUUUCCGGGAGAGUAUGCCUGUUUGAGGGUCAGCCUAAAUAAAAAUCGGCUUCGUUGCUGUGCUUUUUUCGCGGUAACGUUUGUCGGAUAUUGGGUUAUCUUAAACUUUUUUUCGGUUUAAGUGGCUUAAAAAUUAUAUUUUACGAUCUCACGAACGUUUUCUAAGAUUAUUAUAAUCUUUCACGUUCAAGGUAUCGUUACAACCCUUAUUAGACGUGGCCGUGACAUCGGAUCCUCGUCCAUAAUUUUUCUUUUACUGACCUCAGACAGGUAAGAGUACCCGCUGAACUUAA
rnacentral:misc_RNA from 1 species